rnacentral:rRNA from 1 species
UGAAUACGAGAUGCUACGGCGUCGAAGCAGUCUAUGUCAUACUUCCAAGAAAAGCUUGCACUGUCAUAAACAAAUAAUGCCUGUACCAUAACCGACACAGGUGGGUAGGUAGAGUAUACUAAGGGGCGCGAGAUAACUCUCUCUAAGGAACUCGGCAAAAUGACUCCGUAACUUCGGGAGAAGGAGUGCCUUAUUUAUAAGGUUGCAAUAACAAGAUCCAAGCAACUGUUUACCAAAAACACAGGUCUCCGCUAAGUCGUAAGACGAUGUAUGGGGGCUGACGCCUGCCCAGUGCCAGAAGGUUAAAGAAGUUGGUUAGCAUCCGCGAAGCUGAUAACUGAAGCCCUGGUGAACGGCGGCCGUAACAAUAACGGUCCUAAGGUAGCGAAAUUCCUUGUCGGGUAAGUUCCGACCCGCACGAAAGGCGUAAUGAUUUGGAUACUGUCUCGGAGAGGGGCUCGGUGAAAUAGACUUGUCUGUGAAGAUGCGGACUACCUGCACCAGGACAGAAAGACCCUAUGAAGCUUUACUGUAACCUGAAAUUGAAAUUGGACUUUACUUGCGCAGUAUAGGUGGGAGGCGUUGAGAAUAUUCUUGCGGGAUUAUUGGAGCCAUCAGUGAGAUACCACUCUUGUAAUGUUAGAUUUCUAACUUUGUAUCAUUAUCUGGUCAAAGAACAGUUUCAGGCGGGCAGUUUGACUGGGGCGGUCGCCUCCUAAACGGUAACGGAGGCGCACAAAGGUUUCCUCUGAACGGGUAGAAAUCGUAUCUAGAGUGUAAAGGCAUAAGGAAGCUUGACUGUGAGACCUACAAGUCGAGCAGGGACGAAAGUCGGUCUUAGUGAUCUGACGGUGCUGAGUGGAAAGGCCGUCACUCAACGGAUAAAAGUUACUCUAAGGAUAACAGGCUGAUCUCCCCCAAGAGUUCACAUCGACGGGGAGGUUUGGCACCUCGAUGUCGGCUCAUCGCAUCCUGGGGCGGUAGUACGUCCCAAGGGUUGGGCUGUUCGCCCAUGAAAGCGGUACGCGAGCUGGGUUCAGAACGUCGUGAGACAGUUCGGUCCAUAUCCGGUGUAGGCGUUAGAAUAUUGAGAGGAGCCUUCUUUAGUACGAGAGGACCGAGAAGGACAUACCUCUGGUGUACCAGUUAUCGUGCCAACGGUAAACGCUGGGUAGCUAUGUGUGGAGUGGAUAACCGCUGAAAGCAUCUAAGUGGGAAGCCCACCUCAAGGUAAGUA